rnacentral:rRNA from 1 species
GACGAACGCUGGCGGCGUGCCUAACACAUGCAAGUCGAACGGUAGCACAGAGAGCUUGCUCUCGGGUGACGAGUGGCGGACGGGUGAGUAAUGUCUGGGAAACUGCCCGAUGGAGGGGGAUAACUACUGGAAACGGUAGCUAAUACCGCAUAACGUCGCAAGACCAAAGUGGGGGACCUUCGGGCCUCACACCAUCGGAUGUGCCCAGAUGGGAUUAGCUAGUAGGUGGGGUAAUGGCUCACCUAGGCGACGAUCCCUAGCUGGUCUGAGAGGAUGACCAGCCACACUGGAACUGAGACACGGUCCAGACUCCUACGGGAGGCAGCAGUGGGGAAUAUUGCACAAUGGGCGCAAGCCUGAUGCAGCCAUGCCGCGUGUAUGAAGAAGGCCUUCGGGUUGUAAAGUACUUUCAGCGGGGAGGAAGGCGGUGGAGUUAAUAACUUCACCGAUUGACGUUACCCGCAGAAGAAGCACCGGCUAACUCCGUGCCAGCAGCCGCCGUAA